UGCCAGCCGCCGCGGUAAUACGGAGGGAGCGAGCGUUAAUCGGAAUUACUGGGCGUAAAGCGCGCGUAGGCGGCUUUGUAAGUCGGAUGUGAAAGCCCUGGGCUUAACCUGGGAAUGGCAUUCGAUACUGCAGAGCUAGAGUAUGGUAGAGGGAAGUGGAAUUUCCGGUGUAGCGGUGAAAUGCGUAGAGAUCUGAAGGAACAUCAGUGGCGAAGGCGACCUCCUGGACUGAUAUUGACGCUGAGGUGCGAAAGCGUGGGGAGCAAACAGGAUUAGAUA
rnacentral:rRNA from 1 species